UGGGGAAUAUUGCACAAUGGAGGGAACUCUGAUGCAGCGACGCCGCGUGAACGAAGAAGGCUUUCGAGUCGUAAAGUUCUUUUAUAUGGGAAGAUAAUGACGGUACCAUAAGAAAAAGCCCCGGCUAACUACGUGCCAGCAGCCGCGGUAAUACGUAGGGGGCUAGCGUUGUCCGGAAUCACUGGGCGUAAAGGGUUCGCAGGCGGAAAUGCAAGUCAGGUGUAAAAGGCAGUAGCUUAACUACUGUAAGCAUUUGAAACUGCAAAUCUUGAGAAGAGUAGAGGUAAGUGGAAUUUUUAGUGUAGCGGUGAAAUGCGUAGAUAUUAAAAAGAAUACCGGUGGCGAAGGCGACUUACUGGGCUCAUUCUGACGCUGAGGAACGAAAGCGUGGGUAGCAAACAGG
rnacentral:rRNA from 2 species